ensembl:lncRNA
GUAAGUGUUUUACCUUCGCCCCUUCAGGACUCGGGUGGUCACUGCUCUUGUCCUUUGGUCCCCCAGAGAACUACAUCCAUCUCUUUAUUUCCCUACACUCUUGCCUGCCACUUUAUAAGUCAUUCUUUUCUUUUUUUUUUUUGGUACCGGGGAUUGAACUUGGGACCUUGCGCUUGCAAGGCAGGCGCCAGAACCACUGAACUAAAUCCCCGGCCCCUGUGGGCAGUGCCAUCGGCCAGGAAUGCGAGAAAACAGAACACCGCCUCUGUCCUUCACAGCUGACAAUACCGGCCAGAGAUAAGAAUAAAAUUUACAUCUCUUACUUCCUCAUAGUCCUGCAAUGCAGUGGGAAAAGGCAAACAGAAAGAAGGAAAAAGAAGGAGAGAAAGGAAGGGAGGGAGGGAGAGAGGUCUGGAGAAUUACUCAGGGAAAUUUCUUUGGAAAGGAAUUAGGAGGUGCAUUCUAGACUCUGUUUUUUGUUUGUUUGUUUAGUUUUAUUUUUGUGGUACUAGGGAUGGAACUCAGGACCAUGCACUUGCAAAGCAGGCAUGAUGCCACUGAGCUAAAUCCCCGGCCAAAUUAUUUUAAGGUAGUUUGAGUAUUAACUUUCUGUUUGUCUUCUUUUUUUUUAUUUUUCUUUUUGUCUUCUAAGUCAAUGGUCCCAACCUUUUUGGCACCAGGGACCAGUUUCAUGGGAGACGGUUUCUCGAGUGGGGACAGGGACGGUUUCAGGAUAAUUUAGAGCAGUGUACAACCUGGCUCCCUUGUGUGAGGAACUCACAGGGUCUGGCUCCUGUCCGAAUCUAAGACACAGAGAGAGAGAUAUUAAAUCACUUUCCCUUUGAAAGAGGCCUCAUGCUGGCCAGCCACCCACCCGACCCGUGUCCUGAGACCCUGCCAGCCUCUGUCCCCUCUGGCCACCAGCAAGGGAGGUAAGGUCUAAGAGCAAGCAGCAGAGCCGGCGCAGGGAGGUCACCAGUGCUGACUUGUGCCACAUCUUGAACAGCUCUGCCCGUGAACCUGGCUGAGUGGAACAGUGUCACAGGAGCCCACCGAGGAGCUGAGGUUAGAGCUGAGCUCCCUGAGGAGGAGGAGAAGGAGAGGAGGAGGAGGAGGAGGAGGAGGGCUGUUGGCAGCCUCUGGGAGCCCCCAGCAGCAGUUCAUGGUGCAGAGGUGACAUUACAAAGGCCAGACCCAAGCCCACCAGGGCUGCUUCUGAAUCAAGCAAGGAGCAGAGUGGUUCCCAGGGGAGACCAGGCACCUGUCUCACUUUUCUUUGUGUCUCCCGGCCUAGCAGGUGGUAGGUGCUCAGGGGAACAGAAUCUGACAGAUGUGACUCUACAGAAAACGGAGGUGCUGGGAACCGUCUGGGUUCAAAAUGUUCCCAGAGCGAAUGAUGCGCUCCACUGCAGGUUGAAAGGUAGCUCCCUCCCCUCUUCUGGUCUAUCUCUAUGGUGACCAUUACCAGGACUGGUCAAGGUCACACGUGGUCAACCAAGUGGCAGUGCCCUGGGGACCGAGCAGUUGCAUCUUAGCUAUGGCAUUUCAGAUUCUGAACAGCUCUGUAUUACAUCAGUCUUUUUGUUGUUGCACAAAUGCGAUAAAAAAGCAUUGGAUGCAUUUCUUAGGAAGACAAGCCAUCCUGCUGCCUUAGAACUGAUUGGAUUUUUCUAUUUCCAUACACACAUGUAUUUUACACCCCACGGCGAUCGCAGUGAGCAUAUAAUUUUGUAUUGUGCUAAGAUGCCUUUUUUUUUUUUUUUUUUUAGCAAAUCGUUUGUUCUUUUGCAUAGAUUCUGUGCUUGGGGCCAGGCUUUUUGCUGAGGACAAUGGGGCACAUUGGCGUGACCUCUCCUGGGUGUCUGUGAAAUGGCUUUGUUUUCCAGAGUGCUACAGACUAAGAAACUCGCUGGAGAACAGAAGAGAAUAGACUGCGAAUACAGAUUUCUUGUGUGCUGGGUCUAAGUGGGGUAUUUGACUGGGGUGAGAGGAAACCUCCUUUAUAAAUCCAGGGGACACAGCGCUGCCGUUACAGCCUGCGAAGCAAGGCUUUCCAUUCUGAGACUGGCACAUGCAAGCAACCUUGGGCCUGAUUCGCAGGUGCUCAUUUCCCAGCUUCAGAAAGCAAGAGCAGCCUGUCUCUUAGGGAUGAGGAGGGGACUGGGUGGGAGAGUGGCCGCCAGUCUUUGCCUGUGACUGUUCAUGACUGUCGUAGAGCUGACCCUGGGAGAGCCUCUCUGACCCUAUGUUUGUACAUAUCCAGAACAGGGAAAAGAAAUGAGAUAAUGAAUGUGAACGUGUUACGUUAGUUAAAACCAUCUGUUCAAAGCCAGGCGUGGUGCCACACCCCUGCCAUCCCAGCACUCGGAAGGCUGAAGCAGGAGGAUCACUGUGAAUUCAAGGUCAGCCUGGGCUACAUAGCUAGACCCUGUCUCAAAAACACAAAAAGAAGGCAUCUGUCCAUCCAUUUGUCAUCCCUGUGUCUGUCUUUCUGGCUGUCUUUCUUCCACCCCCAGAAUGUGGCAUGGAAGCAGGCACAGAGGAUGCCGAGGUAGGUGGAGCAGGGGACCCUGGGGACAGGGCCUGGGACAGCCCGACAGGCGCUGAAUGAGUCCCUCCUUCCUUCGAAUCCCGCUCCCUUCCUCCUUCCCUCUCUCCUGUACAUUCUUUGCCCUCCACGGUGCUCGGUGUCCCUGCAUGGUGCCACAUCUCCUGCAGCACUGGGGACCACACUGCUCACCCUGAUGACCUCGCUCUUCUGCAGAGGAGACAACCUGGAUGGCACAUGGGGCUACCAGGCUCCUGUGGACUUGGAGAUUCAUCCGGGAUGACGGCACUGAGAGAUUUCGGCUCAUAUCAGAAAGGUUCUUUUUCACGGUCUGGGCCAUCACAGGACAGAAGAAACUUUCCCAGAAGGGAUUGCGUUCCUUGUCCCCAAGGACUCUGAGACAGCUGGGCCAGCUGGUGACCGAGAAGCUGAGGGGAUUUCAAGCUCUUUUUGAAGUGAGGAAGGGUGAUUCAGUGACUUUCAGAUUUUCUUUUCUUUCUUGUGUGCGUGUGUGAGUGUGUGUGUGAGUGAGAGAGAGAGAGAGAGAGAGAGAGAGUGAGGGAGAGAACAUGUGUGUCCAAGAGCUCUUUUCCACUGGGAGGUCACUUCCUACUUGCUAUAAUUUCUCUUUUCUUUUUUUCUUGUUCUCUUUCUUUCCUGUUGUAUGGCUAUGCCACAGUUUUUCCAUUCACCUGUUGGAAGGCAUUUUGAUUGCUUCCAAGUUUUGGCAAUAAGUAAACUACUAUAAACAUUUUCUUUUGAGGUAUUGGGAAUUGAACCUAGGGUCUUUGCACUGAGCUACAUCCCUAGCCAGUUUUGUUUUAAAUUUUGAGACUGAGUCACACUAAGUCUUUAAAUUGCUCAAACUUGUCAUCCUCCUGCCUCAGCCUCCCAGAGUGCUCAGAUUAUAAGCGUGCACCCCCAUGCCUGGCUUGCUAUAAACAGUCUUAAUAGGUUUGGGGUUUUCAGCGUAUUUGAAUGUCAACAAGCACAGCUGCCAGAUCAUGUGGUGCGAGUAUGUUUAGUCUUGUGAGACACUGGCUUCUGUCUUCCAAUUCACCUGCAUGGUUUUGCCUUUUCUCCAUCAGUGACAGAGAGUCCCUGCCACUCACAUCCUCACCAGUGUUUGGUCCCGUUGUUCUGGGUUUGGGCUGUUCUAAGAGGUGUGUGGUGGGAUCUCACUGUUGUUUGAAUGUGUGAUUUCCGACGACAUUGGAUGGUGAGCCUCUCCACAUGCAUAAUCACCAUCUGCACACCUUGGGGUCAGGCGUCUGUUCAGAUCUUUUUCCUGCUCUUUAAUCUGGUCAUUUAUUCUUUAUUUUUUUAUUUAUUUCUUUUUUGAGACAGCAUCUUGCUAUGUGGUCCAGCCUGGCCUCAAACUCACAGUGAUCCUCCUGCCUCAGCCUCUCAAGUGCUUGUUUGAUUACAGGCCCGUGCUACCAUACCCGGCAAGUUCUCUUACUGGGUUCUAAGAGUUCUUGGAACUUUUUGGAUAACAGUUCUUUAUCAGAAAUACCCUUUGCCCUAUUUUCUCCUAUCCCGUGGCUUGCCUUCCAAUUCUCUUGAGAGUGUUUUCAGAGAGCUACUUUGAGGGUUUGAUUUUGAAUCUCGGUAAGAAUCUUUAAUUCUUGUCGUUUAAGGUUACUAAAAUAGAUUAUGUAAAUUACAAAGAAAGUCUGUGACUGAAGAUUGGGUUAUAGAUGACUGGGGCUUUGAUUGAUUUAAUGUCAUGCUUUAGUAUUUAACAUUUCUAUUUUGUCUUCUAGCUGUCCAUUCAUCUAUCUAGCUAUCUAGCUAUCUCCAAUACUGAGGAAUGAACCUAGAGCCUUUGCAUUGAGCUAGGGUAUAUCUGUAACCCCCUCUUUUUGGAGACAAAGUCUUGCUGUGUAGUUCAGGCUGGCCUUGAAUUUACUAUGUAGCCUGAGCUGGGAUUACAGGGAUGUGCCACUAAGCUCAGCACUCUCUCUUUAUAAUUUUGAGACUUUCCUAAGUCUCUGAGUUGCCUAGAUUGAGCUUGAAGUUUCAAUCCUCCAGCCUCAGCCUCCUGAGUAGCUGGGAUUACAGCUAGGUGCCACCAUACCCAGCUUCUUUUUAUAUUUUUAAAUCCGUGUUAUGUUUCUAGUCUCACACAUUCUUCUUUUUUUCUUUUGGUAUCGGGGAUUGAACUCAGGACCUUCUGCUUACCAGGCAGGCAUGGCGCUACUGAGCUACAUCCCCAAAUCAUCUCACACAUUCUUGUGACAGCUUGGAACACAGGUAGACACUGCCUGUGGGAAUUCACUGUGUCUCUGCUCAUCAUGACGACUUCGGGUUAAGGCCCAGUUCUGGCAUUGUACAGCUCCACUGGUGUCUGGGGGUAUUGGUGUCAAUAGAAUCUGUGCAGUGAACAAGGCCUUAAAGCUCACCAAAAUCCAGUCCCCAAUUUUAUAGUAAAGAGCAGGAAUCCAGAGAGCAGCAGACACACAUAUUAUGUGACUGGCGUCGCCAGCUGUUGAUUUGAUGGUUCGUGCAGGGCUUUAGGAGCGGAGCUGAGGCUGCAGCUCAGGCCUCUCUCCCCACUCCCAACACACAGUGGCCUCCUCCACCACAGUCACCCAGCGGUGAGUGUCCUCAUGUGGGACAGUCAUUUUAACUAGAGCUCUUAGCAUAGAGUGAUGACAGCAACUGUGAUCUUGGCUCAGUGCUUAGCCAGGUGUCUGGUGUUGCCUGGGCUGGGUGACAAACUGAGUCACAGUGGACCCUUGGCUUAUGAACUCCAUUCAUUCCUGAGGGCUGGUUGUAACACAAGUUGGUCAACUGAAGGUUCAGGCUCCUCUAAACAGCCUUCAAAGUCUCUCUCCUGUACAAAAAAAAAAAAGACAAAAGUCAGGGCUGAGGAUUUAGCCCAGUGGCACUGCGCCUGCUUUGCAAGCAUAAGGUCCUGAGUUUGAUCCCCGGUACCAAAAAAAAAGUCUCUCUCCAAUAUACAGGCAGAUCUCAGUGUCCUUAAAGAGACACUGGCCCAGGAUUUUUCAACCCCACACAGGCAAGGCUGUUGUAAUGUUCAUUCCAGAACUCUUUAAGGGUUAAGUCUGUAUCUGAGACCAUCUGGAAACACACAAGCAGCCAGCAUUUGGGUCAUAACUCAAGACAUUGGUUGUAAGUUAAAACUAAAAUUUCAAUCAUAACCCAAGUUGUUUGUAUGUCAGGCUGGUUGUAACUUGAGGGUCCACUGUAUUUUUUUUUUUUUUUGGUACUGGGGAUUGAACUAGGGACCUUGGACUUUCGAGGCAGGCGGUGGAACCACUGAGUUAAUUCCACAGCCCUAUUUAUUUAUUUAUUUAUUUAAUUUAUUUAUUUUUUUGGUCCACUGUAUUUUUAAAAGCCGAGAUAGGCUUGGUUGGGUCAGGUGUGGCCAGGAACUGGAGCCACAGAAGAAUAUGGAAGCUCCUGCUGCAAUCAGGGAGGUGGAACCAGAGGAAGAAGAUUUAUCCCAAGGAAGGUCACUUGUCCCACAAAGAGGGUAGGGGUACCUGGCAGAGAAAGCACUCGGUGCUCACUGUGAUUAUAGGGCACCAGAGGUGUUUGAAGAGGAGAGAGGUUCCACCCUACUGGGGAUCAAGGUUGACUACUAGAUGUUGCAAUUAAGAUCGAAAGCCAAGGGAAAGGAGUUUCCAAAGGCCCAGGGGCACAAAAGCAAAAGAAGCUGUGCUACACAUCUGUAAUUUGGGAGGCUGAGGCAGGAGGAUCACAAAUUCAAGGCCAGCCUGGGCAAUUUAGCAAGAUUCUGUCUCAGAAAAUAAAUAAGGAGGACCUGGGAUAUAGCUCAAUGCAAAGGCCCUGGGUUCAAUCCUUGGUACCCAGAAAAAAGUUAAAAAGAAAGCAAAAGAAAAAGCAAUAUGUAGGAGAUAUUUGAAGUUGUCUGGAAACUAAACUGCAUACAAAUAAGGAAAUGCUGAGUUGGAAAUAAGGUUUCCAGAGAAAAAAGUUGGGGCCAGGGCUAACUCCCAGGGAACUAGAUGCCAGAAUUUGUGCUUUAGGUUGUAGCCAUUAGGGAUUGAGUUACCAGAUAAAUACAAGGUGUCCAGUUAAGUUCAAUUCCAAGUAAACAAUGGAUAUUUGCAUGAACAUCUUUUACUAAGAAAUUAUUCACUGCGUAUCUGAAAUUCAAACUGAACUGGGCAUUUUCCAUUUCUCCUUCCUAAAUCUGGCUAUCCCAAAUGAAGCCAAGGCGGUCUGGAGCUAAGGCAUCACGAGGCUGCUGAUUCAACCCGAACAGCAGUACCUCGAAUGUCUCCACAGAUGCCCAGGAGAGCAGGCCAGGCCUUGCCAGCUACUGCACUCCCUUGGAGUUCUCUGGAAAGACUGAACCAACCCCCUUGUGGAGUCUUGCUGUUAAACCUCCUGGAAGCAGGAGAUUAGGGCAAAGCAGACAACUAACAUUAGAACCCAUCAAAGGCCAUAACCCAGAGGCCGUGCCCAGAACAUAGGACCUGAAGGACCCCAGGGCGCCUGAGCACUGUACAGGGAAACAAUCAGAAAGCAAUAUUCUCAAUCCUUCAUUGGAAUCUGCGCUGUUUGCAGGGCCAGUCAGAAGAUGCUCUUUUCAAUCCUUCAUUUGUAUGUGGUGGGAAGCAAAGUGAGGCUCUCCACAGGGCAGUUUAAACCUGCCGCCAGGUCAGGCGAGGAUUUCCCAGCACCAUUGUCCCGAUGCCUUAUUUCCCUGAGGGGAAGCCAGUUUGGGUACUGAAGACCCCUUUCCCCUACCUUUGGGGUGCUGUGAGUGCUCAUUCUCACCCUGCUGAGUGACCCUUUAGUCCACCUUCAAUAAAUGUGCACUUUCUCUGCCUUUUCUGUCUUGUCCAGCUCUUUGUUCAGGACCCAAAGAACCUGGAGAGCCACCGCCAAACCUCCAGCCAGGGACACCCUCUGUCAGUGUCCUUAUGCUCUCGGCGCUAGCGCAGCCAUUCUUUGUCACUGUGCUAACUCAAUUGGAGCCCUGGACUUCAGUGACCCGAACGCCCCCUUCCCUUGAGCAGGCGCUCGGCCAUCCUUACCUGCCCCAGCCUCACACAUUCUCAUGCUGGAAAGUUUUAAAAAACAACCAAGGCCAGCCUGAGCUACAUUGUGAGAUUCUGUCUCCAAAACCAACCAAGAAGCUCCUCUCAAGGACGUGGUGUGCAUGCCUGUAAUCCCGGGGUGGCUGAGGCAGGGAGAUCACUGUGAGUUUGAGUCUGGCCUGGGCUACCUAGUGAGUUCAUGGUCAGCCUAAACUACAUAGUAAGACUGCCUCAAAAAACCAAACAAGGGCCGGGGAUUUAGCUCAGUGGUUCCGCUGCCUGCCUUGAAAGCCUGGUACAAAAACACCACACACACACACACACAGAUGGAGUUUGGGAUCCUACUCAGAAAAUGCUAGAAGGUUCAAGAAGCUUCUCCUGUAAGACACCUGCAGCCAAAUAUGUAACCCUUUCCAUGGAACUUGCUCUAAAGAUGAAAGUGCCUAUGGCUAUCACACAGAUACAGAGAGAUGCAUGUACACUUACUUGCGCAGUCCUACUUGUGAGAAAGAAGAGCUACUUAUAUAGCAGCAGGAGGCCAGUGAUGGGUCCCAAUUCAAGCCCACUGAUGGACCUCCCAAUUGGUCCAAAUUGUUCUAAACAUAAGCCUUCUGAUUCAAGCUCGCUGACUUGUCCAAAUCCAGUCCUGCAGUUUGGUCCAAAUUCAAGCAUGCUGAGGUCAGGAUAGGCUUCUCCAAAUUGUGGGACUUCCUGGACAGCUGCAGCUAUAGCUGUUGAUCAACAAGGCCCUCUUCUAGCUGUUAGAGGGAAAGGGGGCAGUUGGGAGGGUAGUAAUCUGUCUCAAUUCCAUACCCUGCAAUACUUUCCAGGCCUGAGGAGGAGGCAGUGUGGGAUUUCUGGGGGAGAGGUUCAGAAUCACAGAGGCUGGGCAUGGAGGCACAUGCCUGUAGUCCCAGGGGAGGCUGAGGGAGGAGGAUCGCCAUGAGUUUGAGGCCAGCCGGGGCUCCAUAGUGAGUUCAAGAUCAUCCUGACCUACAUAGUGAGACCCUGUCUCAAAAAAAGAAUCCCAGGCAGAGGUUGGGGGUCCCUAAAAGUGAAAGUGAAGCUGGGUGUGGUGUCACACUUGUCAUCCCAGAGCAGGCACCGGGUCUUAGGUCUGGGCUACAAGAUGAUCCAUACAUAGCUGGGGAUGGACAGAAGCUCUGCCUAUCAGGUGCCUAACUCACCCAUCUGUCAGGAGGGGUGUUUGACCAUAGGACGUUUUUAGGGGAAGUGUGGUACUCAAAGCCCACAGGAUGGGCAUGGGGGCUCCGUGUGGUCCAAACCACAGUGCAGAUGAGGCUGGACUCAGGCCAGGGUCGUGGACUUUUGGUUGUAGGCAUGCGUGAGUGGGGGUCUCGGGGAGACAGGAUGACCUUUUCUGAUGGUUUUCUGAUGUUUUGACAGUCAUCUUUGCUCUCAGCUCCUGUCCCGUGGCUGUUGUUUACUUGUCCUUGUUCUGUCUCCUACCUCACCAGUGCUGAGGGAGGCUAAGGCAGGAGGAUCUCAAGUUCAAGCCCAGACUGGCAAUUUAGC